UACAGAGGUCCCAAGCGUUGUUCGGAUUCACUGGGCGUAAAGGGCUCGUAGGUGGCCAACUAAGUCAGACGUGAAAUCCCUCGGCUUAACCGGGGAACUGCGUCUGAUACUGGAUGGCUAGAGUUUGGGAGAGGGAUGCGGAAUUCCAGGUGUAGCGGUGAAAUGCGUAGAUAUCUGGAGGAACACCGGUGGCGAAGGCGGCAUCCUGGACCAACACUGACGCUGAGGAGCGAAAGCCAGGGGAGCAAACGGG
rnacentral:rRNA from 1 species